GUAUGAACAUAGCUUUUUAGCAAGUUUGCAUAAUGCUAGUUAACUAACGUUAGUCACAAACUCGAUUCAUCCACCACAGCAGGGACUGUGAUGCAGCUAGCUGAGGAACGCUCAACUCAUUUUUCUUAUCGAGGCUGAAUUGAGUUUUGAUAUCUGGUCGCGGGAUUUGCUAGCAACAACAUUCAGUGCGGUUACAUGCACACAAAAGCGAUUAUUUUGUAUAGUCGGAUUAUUAUAACAGUUAGAUUAAAACGUUUACUUACUUUGCAAGAAGAACCUAAUAAUACUUUUUACAUGAACACAUCUGAAAUCAGGUUACCUGAUGGCAAUCUGAUAAAUGCAGAAAAUAGUGCUGAGUGAUUAGUGCUUUUUGGUUUGGGUUCGAUAAUUAUUUUUAAACAUCGAAUGCAUUAUGCGGGUUGAAUGCUGUAACAAGACAUAAUAAAACGGCCAAUAAAAGUCCCAUGAUGGUAGUGACCGCCCAUUACUGCUUAUCACUUAUUAACCAUUUAUUCACAUUAUUUUACUUAAUUCAAAUAUUUCAGUUGCGUAUAUGAUUUGUUUUAUUCACUGACUAUUUCAUUCCAAGUCAUCUCAUCUCUAUAGAAAUGCUGCCUAUGCUAUCUGACAAAAUCACUAUUUUGUAGUUCUUCAAAGUAAAUGAGGCAUACUUUUAUGACUGCUGAAUACCAACUAUCAAUCCCUUAGAUCAUGUAUUUUCAAGUAGAUGCUUCCCAAAGCAACUGUUAUUAGUUGUUUGAAAACCAAAAAGUAACUUGCUCGGCACUAGCAGAAAACUGGCAAUCAAAAUAAACGUUCCACCACAGCGAACAUGUUAUUUUUGCUAAGCAUAUUCGAUUCUGAGUUCGUACAUAUAGAGUUUGUAUGUGCAAACUCCUUCCAAGAUGCAUGCAUUCAGUUCCGAAAACACUUCACUCACGCUGAAGAGGGAGGCUCGCUCGGCUGGUGCUAGCACAUGCGCAGAUCAAAUGCACCGCUUGUACGCCGAUUUAAGGUCAUUACGUGUCGUAAUCAUUUCGAAAGAUUGCUCAGAAAACCAGGUGUUUUAAUCCGCGAAUGCUCUCUUGAUUUUGACUUUACGCAGAUUAAAGCUGCAAUAUGUAACUUUUUGGGGACCUGAGCAAAUUCAUGUAGAAAUGUGACUUAUCGAUCUGUCAUUCUCAUCGAAAGCAAGUCUAAGAAAGGUACCUUCAUACAAGGCUUGUGGGCAUCCUAGAUCAAAGUGGAGAACACCAUCGUGUUCACGAGAGUCUCUGGUUUCAAUAGUGGUCAUAAUCGGCCAAACUGUUUGGAUGCUACAGACGUUUUUGUGAGAAGAUCGAUUUUUGGGAAGUCUAUGAUCUGACAAACACCACUGUAGCUCUGCCACCUUUCACCGCAGAUGCGGAAGGGCGAUAUUGGCGGAUGUGGUGGAUUGAGACGCAGGCCCUGCAACAAAAAAAAAACACAUCUCUAUCUAGGUUUGCAAACUGUCUGAAACCUUCCACUAAAUUACCUGGAAUUUCUCUGUAAAUUUCUCUGUAAAUUUAAGCCCAGGAAUUUUGCUUAAAUUCAUCAAAAAAGUUAACUUGUAACAGUGAACUUUAUUGUGGGAUAUGAUACACAUAAGGAACUUCUAGGUAUUGUGGCCUAUUUUGGUUAAACUAUCCCCAAUUCAAUGGAAUUGCAACCCUCUGCAUGCACAGUGCAUUCUUCCAUCACAUGUGCAGCUGAUUCUCAAGAUCUUGCACACUAAUGAGAUGCUAUUGAGCCCACACUACUACACUGUCUGAGCCAAGGACUACAUGCUUUCUGGGAAAAGCCACGGGCUCUAUCUGAUUUGUGGAGAAAUUUCACUGCAGCUAAUGUAGAAGGAAAAGCUGUGUACAUUUGCUAAUACUGUGAAAAAUCAUAUGUGAAGAAUGCAACAGAGAUGAGAAUCAUCUGGCCAAGUGCAUAAAGUUCCCUCCACUCACAAACAAACAAGCUCUGACAAAAGUCCCUCUACUUCUAUUCGAGGUGAAAAUGAUGAAUCAGACACCUUAUCGAUAGCAACAGCUCAGGGUCCUCCUGGAAUCCAUUUUUUUUUUACUCAAUGGAGGAACGUAGUCAGAGAUGCUGAUGAAUGUUUUGCUCGAGCUGUGUAUGCAACUGGUUCACCUCAAGCUCACAGGCAAUGUGUAUUGGAAGAGAUUUCUGAAUGUUCUUCGCCCAGCAUACACCCCUCCAACCAGACAUGCUUUAUCUACUCAUUUGCUGGAUGCAGAGUUCAAGUGAAGGUCAAGCAAAUCAUAGAGAAAGCACACUGUAUUGCAAUCAUCUCUGAUGGGUGGUCGAAUAUUCGUGGGCAAGGAAUAAGUAACUACAUCUCCACCCCUGAACCAGUAUUCUACAAGAGUACAGACAUAAGGGACAACAGACACACCAGUCCCUACAUUGCAGAUGAGCUGAAGGAAGUCAUCAAUGACCUUGGAACACAGAAGGUAUUUGCACUGGUGACAGACAAUGCUGCGAACAUGAAGGCCGCUUGGUCGAAAGUGGAGGAGACCUACCCUCACAUCACACCCAUUGGCUGUGCUGCUCAUGCAUUGAUUCUGAUUCUCAAGGACAUCAUGGCACUGAAAACAAUGGAUACACUCUACAAGAGAUCCAAGGAAAUGGUUAGGUAUGUGAAGGGUCAUCAAGUUAUAGCAGCAAUCUACCUCACCAAGCAAAGUGAGAAGAAUAAGAGCACCACAUUGAAGCUGCCCAGCAACACCCGUUGGGUUGUGUUGUCAUCAUGUUUGACAGUCUCCUUGAGGGGAAGGAGUCUCCAUGGAAUGGCCAUAUUACAGUCUGCCCAUAUGGACAGCCCCAUCAAGAGGAUCCUCCUGGAUAAUGUAUUUUGGGAGAGAGUGGUAAGCAGCCUGAAACUCCUGAAACCUAUAGCAGUAGCCAUUGCACGGAUUGAGGGAGACAAUGCCAUCCUGUGAUGUUCAGACUGCUUGCAGAUGUAAGAGAAUAAAUCUGUACUGCCCUGCCCAGUUCAGUGUUGCUCCAAGCAGAGGAUACGGCAGUUCUGAAAUGCAUCAAAAAGCGUCUGGCGAACUACACUUCCAAGCAAGGGCUUUGGGAUGGAGAUGCAAUAUGGGAGUCGUGCCAACAUAUCUCAUCAGCCACCUGGUGGCAGGGACUUUGUUGAUCUGAGGCUCUUUUCUCUUUUGCCUCCAUCAUCCUCCAAAUCCCACCAACAUCACCCGCCUCAGAGCGCAACUGGUCCUUUUUUGGGAACACACACACCAAAGCACACAACAGUCUGACCAAUACUAGUGUUGAAAAAUUGGUGGCCAUCCGGGCAAUUUUGAGGCUUUUUGAGCCUGACAACGAGCCAUCCUCAACAAGGUUGGAAGAUGAGGCCUCACAGUCUGAUGUUCAAGAGGUGGACAUUGAGGAGGUCCAGGGAGAAGAGAGGAACACAACCAAAGCUUUAGUUUCUGGACUAUAAUUUUACAGAUGUAUGUUAAAUGUUUUUGGGAGAUGCGAUGGAUCAUUAUUCCCUUAUCAGUAUUCCCUUUUUGUUGUUCAGUGAAAUCUUCCCAUGUGAAGUGUCAACUCAUUUAAAGUUCAGUUUGUAACUAAAUGUUUUUUUUUUUCUAUUGGAAUGAUUUAAUCAUUUGCAAUUAUGUCUACUUAUAGUAAGGUAAAAGGUUUCUGUCUCCAUAUGAUAUAAAAACCUCUACAUUUUAAAUGGUAUCUUAAUAUGAAUUGCAUAUAUUCUCUGUAAAGUUUCCACUUCUGAAUAUUCCCCAAAAUGUGCAACCUAUCUUAAACAGAUGGAUUUUUAAAAUUAUGUUAAUUAUAUUUCAAGUCUUUAAAAGUAAGAGAAACAAUGAUUUUCAAAACCUGCAAUUAGGGAGGGUAUUUUUUUCCCCCAUAUCACUGCAAAUCUGUUUGAAAAUGACUUGACGCACUUGAUUUAUUUUUUUCUUCCUACAACUUACAAAUGUGCCGUUUUCACACACAGACACUGGUUUGAUUCUGGAGAUACUGAAUAUUAGAUUAAAAAAGGCGACUCAGCAACCUUUCAAUCUGACUAUCCACAAUACUCAUUAUUGUGUGCAUGUAACCCUACUCACUAAAAAACUGUGGGUAACGUUAUAUCCUCCUGUAUGUGACUCGAUAGACAUUCUCUGUUGCGGACACAUUUCUAGUAACAUGGCAGUGUUCAUAACCUUGCCAGACUAUUAGCUUUUUUUGCCUGAGUGGUUCAUUUAAUUUAUUUCCCCCCAAAAUUCUGUUCUCUCUGUUUUGUUGCUUCAGGUUUUUUACUGUCAAUCACUUGUUUAAUAAAAAAAACAACACUUGCUUAAACCAAAGACUACUUUUGAGGUCUGGGAAAAAUAUAAAAUGUUUAUUUUGAGUAGUUACUCUUUUAAUGGAAGUGUAUACCAGCAAGAGACUAUUGUUUCAGUAACCCUCAUGUGAUUGCAGAGUUUGCAAAACAAAUGGCCACUGGAUUCAUAGGCUUGUUUGUAGUUCACAUUUAAUUGAGAAGGUUUUGGGAAAGCCUUUCCAUCUGAAUCAGAAGAUGGUUAUCGUUAGCAUUGUCGCUAACAGCUACACAUGUUGACAUGCGCACGCACCACACACAGACAGGCAUUCCUGUGCUUUUGCAUUUUGUCUUAUGUUUAACUUUGGCAAAUGUAAUGCAUUUUCUAAUACGUUAAUACAUUUAGUUGAUUUCAAUGAAAGUUAAACACAUUAAUUUUAAUGUCUGGAUUCUGUCAGUGUUCUCUGCAGCUCAGACUGUUCCUAAAUGUUG
rnacentral:lncRNA from 1 species